rnacentral:rRNA from 1 species
UACGUAGGGACCGAGCGUUGUCCGGAUUCAUUGGGCGUAAAGAGCUCGUAGGCGGCUGUUCAAGUUCGAACGUGAAAACUCGGAGCUCAACUCCGAGCCUGCGUUCGAUACUGGACGGCUAGAGUCUGGUAGGGGGAUCUGGAAUUCCUGGUGUAGCGGUGGAAUGCGCAGAUAUCAGGAGGAACACCGGUGGCGAAGGCGGCCAUCUGGGAUACAACUGACGCUGAGGCGCGAAAGCGUGGGGAUCAAACAGG